AAUUUACAAUCUCUCUCUAAUAUGAUAUCUAUAAGUUUUUAUUAUCAAUAAGAUUAUUUAGAAUACUAUAAUGACCAGUAAAUGCAUUAUCUUGCACAUUUCUUCAAGUUUAUGAUCUCAUGUCUACUUAAAAUACAGGUUUAAAAAGAUUGGUACUGGUUCUCAGAAUUCUGAAAUUGUUGUCCCAAAGGAAGAAACCUCAGAGAGAGACUUACGCCCACUGCUGUUUAAAUUUAAUGAGGGUUUCACAAAUGCAGUAAAGAGGCCAGUUCGCAUGCGUGAGUUUCUGCUAUGAUGAAUCUUGGUUUCAGUAAGCAAAGGCGGCAGGAAUCUUAGCCACAUUUUCUUGCAAAUUCAACAGCUACCCUUCUCUAAAUCUAUACAUAAUUGUACCCAUAUGUAUGUAUUUAUACUCAAAACUUUUAUGUAUCAAUAGCCAUAAAAAGUCUGAAGCCUUUCUAAUAUGCAAUAACCGCACCAGGUUUCAGUUGCAGCCUGAUUUAGUUGGGAAGAACUAAUGAGAUGGACGGGCAGCAAAGGAGAGUAAUUUCUGUAAAAUGGUAAAGUUGUUUUGCUUGCCUGCCUGCUAAUCAAUAUCAAAAUUUUGUGAGAAGUUCUUAGAAGCACCUAAUUUUUUCAUUAAUACAUAAUUCAAUUUUAAACUUUCUGACA